AUCUUUUCCUUAAUUUGAUUCUGAUCCAACCCUGGGAAGAUAAGCAAUAUGGUUCCUGCUUCAUAGAUGAGGAAACAGCCAUGGAGCAGCCAUUUGCAUAGUAAUGUAUUGCCAGGCAACUGGAAGAUUUGGAGCCCAACAUGAACAACCUCUUCACUAUUGCCUUCACUGCAAAGCUAGCAGAAGGCUAAACUCUACCUUGGAGAUUUACUGCCUCUGCCUCCUGAAUGUUGAGAUUAAAGGCAUGAGCUACCACAUUGGGAUUCAGACUGACUUCUCUUUCCCACCC